rnacentral:rRNA from 1 species
GACGAACGCUGGCGGCGCGCCUAACACAUGCAAGUCGAACGAGCGAGAGAGAGCUUACUUUCUCGAGCGAGUGGCGAACGGGUGAGUAACGCGUGAGGAACCUGCCUCAAAGAGGGGGACAACAGUUGGAAACGACUGCUAAUACCGCAUAAGCCCACGGCUCGGCAUCGAGCAGAGGGAAAAGGAGCAAUCCGCUUUGAGAUGGCCUCGCGUCCGAUUAGCUAGUUGGUGAGGUAACGGCCCACCAAGGCGACGAUCGGUAGCCGGACUGAGAGGUUGAACGGCCACAUUGGGACUGAGACACGGCCCAGACUCCUACGGGAGGCAGCAGUGGGGAAUAUUGCACAAUGGGGGAAACCCUGAUGCAGCGACGCCGCGUGGAGGAAGAGGGUCUUCGGAUUGUAAACUCCUGUUGUUGAGGAAGAUAAUGACGGUACUCAACAAGGAAGUGACGGCUAACUACGUGCCAGCAGCCGCGGUAAAACGUAGGUCACAAGCGUUGUCCGGAAUUACUGGGUGUAAAGGGAGCGCAGGCGGGAAGACAAGUUGGAAGUGAAAUCCAUGGGCUCAACCCAUGAACUGCUUUCAAAACUGUUUUUCUUGAGUAGUGCAGAGGUAGGCGGAAUUCCCGGUGUAGCGGUGGAAUGCGUAGAUAUCGGGAGGAACACCAGUGGCGAAGGCGGCCUACUGGGCACCAACUGACGCUGAGGCUCGAAAGUGUGGGUAGCAAACAGGAUUAGAUACCCUGGUAGUCCACACUGUAAACGAUGAUUACUAGGUGUUGGAGGAUUGACCCCUUCAGUGCCGCAGUUAACACAAUAAGUAAUCCACCUGGGGAGUACGACCGCAAGGUUGAAACUCAAAGGAAUUGACGGGGGCCCGCACAAGCAGUGGAGUAUGUGGUUUAAUUCGACGCAACGCGAAGAACCUUACCAAGUCUUGACAUCCUGCGACGCACAUAGAAAUAUGUGUUUCCUUCGGGACGCAGAGACAGGUGGUGCAUGGUUGUCGUCAGCUCGUGUCGUGAGAUGUUGGGUUAAGUCCCGCAACGAGCGCAACCCUUAUGGUCAGUUACUACGCAAGAGGACUCUGGCCAGACUGCCGUUGACAAAACGGAGGAAGGUGGGGAUGACGUCAAAUCAUCAUGCCCUUUAUGACUUGGGCUACACACGUACUACAAUGGCGUUAAACAAAGAGAAGCAAGACCGCGAGGUGGAGCAAAACUCAGAAACAACGUCCCAGUUCGGACUGCAGGCUGCAACUCGCCUGCACGAAGUCGGAAUUGCUAGUAAUCGCAGAUCAGCAUGCUGCGGUGAAUACGUUCCCGGGCCU